UCUUGGUCCCCAUUAGAGGAAGUAAAAGUCGUAACAAGGUCUCCGUUGGUGAACCAGCGGAGGGAUCAUUACUGAGUUACCGCUCUAUAACCCUUUGUGAACAUACCUAACCGUUGCUUCGGCGGGCAGGGGAAGCCUCUCGCGGGCCUCCCCUCCCGGCGCCGGCCCCCACCACGGGGACGGGGCGCCCGCCGGAGGAAACCAAACUCUAUUUACACGACGUCUCUUCUGAGUGGCACAAGCAAAUAAUUAAAACUUUUAACAACGGAUCUCUUGGUUCUGGCAUCGAUGAAGAACGCAGCGAAAUGCGAUAAGUAAUGUGAAUUGCAGAAUUCAGUGAAUCAUCGAAUCUUUGAACGCACAUUGCGCUCGCCAGCAUUCUGGCGAGCAUGCCUGUUCGAGCGUCAUUUCAACCCUCAAGCACCGCUUGGUUUUGGGGCCCCACGGCACACGUGGGCCCUUAAAGGUAGUGGCGGACCCUCCCGGAGCCUCCUUUGCGUAGUAACUAACGUCUCGCACUGGGAUCCGGAGGGACUCUUGCCGUAAAACCCCCAAAUUUUUUACAGGUUGACCUCGGAUCAGGUAGGAAUACCCGCUGAACUUAAGCAUAUCAAA
rnacentral:rRNA from 1 species